UGGCAUAUGGAAGUUCCCAGGACAGGAAUUAAAUCUGAGCCACAGCUGUGACCUACACCACAGCUGCAGCAAGACCAGAUCUUUAACCCACUGUACCACAGCAGGAACUCCAGGUUUGUCCUCUUAGGAGGCUCUUUUAAAGUAAAACAUGGUGUUGGCACAAAGAAAAAUAGGCCACUGAAACUGAAGAACUUAUAAUCAGACACACAUGUAUGUGGAAACUGUGUUAGGUGCAGCACUUAUUAUACUCUUGAGAUUAGAUUUAGAUACAGAUCCCCAAACUGGAAACCCAAAAGUCCAUCAAUGCAUGAAUAUAAGCCAAUAAAUAGCUAUAGAAGAGCAUAAUAUUCAGCAAUAAAAAUUUAUGAACAACUGAUAUUUGCCAACAACAUACAUGAAUCUCAAAAAUCACUAUGCUAAGUGAAAGAACCCAGGCAAAAGAGCACCUAAACACAUGCAUUUAUUAUACAAAUUCAAUUUACAUAAAAUUCUAUAAUAUGCCAACUAACCCACAGUGACCUAAAGGUCAGUGGUUGCUUGACAUUUGGGAUGGAGCAUGGGAUGACCUGCAAUAAGCGGGAGGAAAGAUUUGGGUUAAAUGUUCAUUAUCUUGACUGUGGUGGUGGUUUCUCAGGUGAACACGUGACUUAAAACUACGUGUCAGUUUCAUUAUGUACAGUUGAUUGCACUCCAAAUACACCUCAUUUUUAAAAAAUGAGACGGGUCCAGUUCAAAGAGAAGGGGUUCAAAAUAUGACAAAAGAGAUAAUAAUUAUCCUUAGUUUGUGGACAAAUGGGAAUGGGUUACAAAGAGGUUUGGAAAAGCCAUAGAGAGAGUAAACUGGUCAGAGAAAUAUUACCAGGCAACAUGUAAGACCCACCUGAAGCUGGUGAUGUCCAGUACAGAGUAGAACUACCCGCUCUACUCUCUCUCCAGCAGUUUUCAGCUGCUUUUGAGUAAAUACCAAGAAAGAAAAUAGAGCACAUGUCAUUUAUUGUGCUUCAUAUAAAUGGCAUUUUUUUACAUAUUGAAGGUUUGUGGCACCGUGAGUCGAAGGAAACUAUCUGGGCUGUUUUUCCAACAGUACCUGCUCACCUCAUGUACCUAUGUCACAUUUUGCUACUUCUACCAAUAUUUUAAACUUUUUUUUUUACUAUUAUUCUAUUUGUUAAGGUUAUAUAUAUAACAUCAGUGACCUUUGAUGUUACUACCAUGAUUUGCUGAAGGUUCUCAGAUGCUGGUUCACACUUUUUAGCAAUGAAAUAUUUUUAACGUGGAAGGAAUUUUUAAAGUUGAGGAUUAACAGAAUCAGAGCAAGUCUAAAACAGUGAGCAAAAGCACAGAGCCUAAAGCCAGACAACCUGGGUUUGUAUCUGACUUUUCCCACUUCCUUGCUUUGUAACUCUAAGCAUGGUAAACUUUCUAGGCCUCAGUUUUCUUAACUUCAAAAUGGGUAAUAGGUCUUUCUCCACAGGAUCACUAGGAACAUUAAGUUGAUUAUUUGUAUAUAAAGCAUUUAAAAUAGUACCUGGCAUAUAAUAAGCACUAAAUAAGUGCUAACUACCAUCAGUAUUAGAAAAGGCCAAAAUAAUUAUUGAUGUAUAAUGACUUUAUCAGAUGUCUUCCUUAAUUACAGUUUUUAAAUUGGCUAUAUAAGCCUGUGCUUAAUAAAAGUCUUGAAGGCUACAUUAUUCUAUAGUUUAUAGGAUGUUUGCAUUACUAAAUUUAAAUACAUAUAUUUCAAACGUGUACCCACAAUUUCAGGAAUGUAAUUCCAGUCACAGAAUUUCAGGGGUUUUUUUUUCCUGUCUUUUUUGUCUUUUUGCCUUUUCUAGGGCCGCUCCCACAGCAUAUGGAGGUUCCCAGGCUAGGGGUCAAGUCGGAGCUGUAGCCAGAGACCUACACCAGAGCCACCUAUGCCAGAGCCACAGCAACACGGGAUCCAAGCCUCGUCUGUGACCUACACCACAGCUCACGGCAACGCUGGAUCCUUAACCCACUGAGCAAGGCCAGGGAUGGAACCCACAACCUCAUGGUUCCAGUCAGAUUUGUGAACCACUGAGCCACAAUGGGAACUCCACAGAAUUUCAGUUUUAAUGGUCACAUUCUGACCCUUCCUGAAGAAUCAAGAUUUUUCUCACAGGCAAUAUUAUUAUUUUCAGAUAACUUGAAUUUGAUACAUGUCCAAGGUUGCUACUUCCUAAUUCCACUCCAUUCACAGGUCAUCUCAAGAGACUACUCAAGUAAGUUUCAUUUCCAAUGGUCAUGACUAUCCAUAUCAUCACCCACAUGGAAAGGAUGUAGUCAGUUUAGUUAAUCAAUAACGUCUUGAUGGGAAUGAUGGUAGCACUUGGUUUUAGUGUUAAAAUGCAAAGAUAAAUCUUAACUUUUUAUGACUAAGGUAAAAAUAAAUUCUUAAUCCAGUUAAAGGAUGCAUUAGUUCUUAAUGCCUCAUGGUACAAGUACUUCUUACCUUAAUUUUUGGUUCAUUCUGGUCCUAAUGAUACUCAUUAAAAACAGAUUGCCUGACUAUUGCUGAUUCUUGGGACACUAAUUUGCUCUAAAUAUGUUGUAUUUGCAAAUUGCAUUAAUUAUGCUCUAUCUCUCAGGAGCGUCAUGCCCAGGUAUUUUUCUGAAUACUUCCAUAAUUAUUCCUGUAAGACAUAGUACAAUUCACUGGAAAUUAGCACUUUAACUCAUUCUGAGAAUGGGGAAAUUACCAAAGAAAUCCUUUCAAGAAUCAUGUGAAAUGUAGACAAGAUAAAUAACUUUCAAAUGCUUAUUUUACCAAAUUGAAAAUUCAUUAUACACAUAUUUUUCAUGAUCUUAUUAACACUUUUUUGAAUCCUAAAACAUUACUUAAAAAUAGGUAACAUUUCCGCCAUAGCAAUCUGAAUCUAAAUCAAUGUAGCAGAAACAAAAUGGUAGUUAGAACUCUCAGUGUAAUAUUUUCAUUCUCAUUCCAAAGCAUUUAUUCUCAUCCAUAACUUCUGAGCUUUAACUUUCUGGUUUUAAUAUCUUUUUUAUAUUUAAGAAGUGCAUAAACUGAAAAAUUGGGAAUUAGCUCCACAUGAGUAACAACAAUAUACUUUAUCUGUCACCAUCUUAACACUCUGAGAACAAGAACAGUUAAUUUCCUCAUUUUUAUCGGUAAAGAUACAGCAUUAAUACUGCAUGAACACAGAGUUGCAUUUUCAUUUCCUAUUUUAAUUGAUAAAUGUGAUAAAAAUAAAAAUAAAGUAUAUUCCUUG
rnacentral:lncRNA from 1 species